GAAUUUGAGAAAUUAAUAAAAACAUUUGUAAAGUAAUUUCUCCGAAAAAUGGCCGAUAUGUCGAUACGCCAUCUUUGUUUUCAUACGCAUUCUAAACCCACUGCGAUCGUUCAGAUAAUUUGAAACAACCGCGUUAUAUUCCCGACUGUAAGUGAUUUGUGAUUGGUCAAUCAAAUUGCACUUUGACACGAUAAUCGCCGACGACAAGUAAACAAACAAGAUGCCGAACGGUUGUUGUGUAUUGGGCUUAUAGAACGCAAAUAAGUCACCCAAAAGUAUCGUUUUUCCUCUUUCCCAAGAAAGAUAAAAAUAUAAAAACUUUUAAUAAGUGGGUAGAAUAAAGGACAGCGAGGAAGAAGAUGUUGAGGAAAUGCCAUCUCAGAACAAAAAAGAAAAACAACGAAAUCUAUAUACCGACGAAAACGGGAGGUUGAAAGUGUAAGUACAGAACCUACAUAGCAGCUUUGCAAACCAGGGAGGAGAUCUUGAGAACUCUUUGUGGUUCUCUCUUGCCAAAAAAGACUGGGUAGCUGAAAAAAAAUCUUGUCAAGUCUACAUUCGAAUACGCUGCGAACAUAAUUGAAAUGGCUCUGUACAUGGCAAAAAGUAAUAUGAAAGAGUUUUUACACUGCUGAAAUAAUGUGCGAUCCAGGAACAAUUGCUGGGAAAUUACCGAAACCAGACAAAAAUCAGUUUGUGUCCAGUUUACUCAGCCGAUUCAACAGAAAUUAAAUACUGUACUGUAUAGCCAUACAGUAACAUGACCAUGUUACACUUUUUUUUAUAAGAGCCAUUCAAAUUAUGCCCAGGCUCACUGUUAUUAUUUUUUGCUGAUUCCAGCAUUACUCUAUUUCCAUUUACAGAAAAUUGUUAUUGUACAGCAGUAUAUUACUGUGCUAUAAACGUUAUAAGAUCAUUAUCGUUGAAGUAUAAACAGGCCUUUAUCCUCAACCUGGGCUUCAAUAUUUGGAAAAGAUUUUGGUUUGUACCUGAUUGUACUUUAAACAUUUCUUAUGAGGUAGUUCUUGUUAUUUUGCAUAGUAAAAUACCUACUACAUGUCUUGUGAUAUGUUUCCAAACUACAUCUUCCACGUUGUAUUAACAAAUUCUACCCACUUAUUAAAUGUUUCUAUAUCUUUUUUGGAAAGAGAACAAAAGAUAGUUUCUGGUGACUAAA